GCUCUGGUGUCGGUUCAGUGGGUGAGAGAGAGAGACAAGAAGACGAGCCGACGACAGGAGUAGAGAGAGAGAAGCAAUACGAGGAGGAGAGGAAGAAAGGAGGAAAAGACCAGAAGAGAAUAGAGGAGGAGAGAAAAGAGGAGGAGAGAAGGUCUAAGGGUGAGAGGAAAUAUGGGCAGUGUCUCCUCGGCCUAUCGUAUCAUCUACCUGCACACAGAUGGAAGGAUCCAGAAGGUUGUCUUUAGUAGGUUUUGUAGCCCAUGUGACAUAAAGGAGCUCCUAUGCACAGCUGCUGGCCUCUCCAGGAACACCACCAUCUCUCUAUUGGACUCCUCAGGAGCUAUGGUAUCCAUAGACCCUACAAUGCCAAACAACUCAGAGAGGUCACCGUACCGGGUGCUGCCACUCACAGGAGGUCAUCUGACUGGUAAGAGAGA